rnacentral:rRNA from 1 species
CCUACGGGAGGCAGCAGUGGGGGAUAUUGCACAAUGGGGUGAACCCUGAUGCAGCGACGCCGCGUGGGUGAAGAAGCGCCUCGGCGCGUAAAGCCCUGUCAGCAGGGAAGAAAAUGACGGUAACUGAAGAAGAAGCCCCGGCUAACUACGUGCCAGCAGCCGCGGUAAUACGUAGGGGGCAAGCGUUUUUCGGAUUUGCUGGGUGUAAAGGGGGCGCAGACGGCGAUGCAAGCCAGGAGUGAAAGCCCGGGGCCCAACCCCGGGACUGCUCUUGGAACUGCGUGGCUGGAGUGCAGGAGGGGCAGGCGGAAUUCCUGGUGUAGCGGUGGAAUGCGUAGAUAUCAGGAGGAACACCGGUGGCGAAGGCGGCUUGCUGGACUGCAACUGACGUUGAGGCCCGAAAGCGUGGGGAGCAAACAGGAUUAGAUACCCUUGUAGUC